rnacentral:rRNA from 1 species
CGGCACGGGUGAGUAACACGUAUCCAACCUGCCGUCUACUCUUGGACAGCCUUCUGAAAGGAAGAUUAAUACAAGAUGGCAUCAUGAGUCCGCAUGUUCACAUGAUUAAAGGUAUUCCGGUAGACGAUGGGGAUGCGUUCAUUAGAUAGUAGGCGGGGUAACGGCCCACCUAGUCUUCGAUGGAUAGGGGUUCUGAGAGGAAGGUCCCCCACAUUGGAACUGAGACACGGUCCAA